CACGUAGGGGCCAAGCGUUGUCCGGAUUUAUUGGGCGUAAAGAGCUCGUAGGCGGUUCGGUAAGUCGGGUGUGAAACCUCCAGGCUCAACCUGGAGACGCCACCCGAUACUGCUGUGACUGGAGUCCGGUAGGGGAGCGUGGAAUUCCUGGUGUAGCGGUGAAAUGCGCAGAUAUCAGGAGGAACACCAGCGGCGAAGGCGGCGCUCUGGGCCGGUACUGACGCUGAGGAGCGAAAGCGUGGGUAGCAAA
rnacentral:rRNA from 1 species